rnacentral:lncRNA from 1 species
GUAGGGUCUGAGCAGCAGAGGUGGUUGUCUGGAGGGGACAGAGCGGCAUUCCCUCCCAUGGCUGUGCAGAUGCUGAGGUCACAGAGUGGAGCUGGCUGUGCUCAAUCCUAUAACAGCUCUGCCACCCCGUCAUAGCCCUGAGAGUUGUGUGUGGUCUGCAGUUGGGUCUUGCAACCAGCCAGAGCCCUCUCACUCCAUUUCCAGUUCACAUCACUCUAAUAGGCCCUCAGCUGGCCCAAGAAAUUCCCAAACAUCUCUUUCUACAAACAAGGAGUUGGAUUUCUUUUGUCUUGCAAUCAGGGGAGACAAAUUCUCCCCUCAACCACAGUUUAAUUUAUUCCUUUUGGUAGUUAUUGCCUCCACCUACUGAAGUUGUCUAGACUGUUGGGAUUUUUUUCCACCUUUUUUCCUUUUUUCCCCCUUUUUUCUUUUCAGUUCAAGAUUUUUGGAAGCUGCCUUUGCCUCUUUCCGAAACAAGUUUAUUUUUAGUGUCACUUUUUCCAUUGGCAAGAUAUCAUGGCUGAGUGAGCUUCUCUUGGAGGAACUUCUUUGCUUUCAAUAGGAAAAUGAGAAACCCGCCCAGUUGCAGGGAUGGUGCAGCAGAAGGCACUUGAGGUAACAUCAUACUGUCCAAGCGGGAAGCAGGUUUGCCUGGAGCAGGCCCCGCUCACGCCAACAAAAUGGAGGCCACGCAAUGCAGGCCCCGCUCACACCAACAAAAUGGAGGCCACGCAAUGCAGGCCCCACUCACACCAACAAAAUGGAGGCCACGCAAUGCAGGCCCCGCUCACGCCAACAAAAUGGAGGCCACGCAAUGCAGGCCCCGCUCACGCCAACAAAAUGGAGGCCACGCAAUGCAGGCCCCGCUCACACCAACAGGAAGAUUGGCUGCUGGGUUUGUUGGCACUGAGAGAAAUUCCCUUUCAAACCCAAGCCCACCUAAUUGAAGAGGGUUAUGGAAUCUGCUGAUGUGCUCUUGGUCUGCUUUACCCUUUGGGUGGAGCUCUGUUAAGGAGGAAGCCAACAGGACUUGCACCUGCCUAGGGAAUGGCUCACUGCCACUGACUUCUUGGAACAACCACACACCAUCAGUGGACCAACAGAACUUCAAAUUGUGAGUAACUUGACCACACACACCCUCACACAGCACUAAACAGUUCUGAGGUGACUUCUUAGAGAGAGGGGUCAGGAACACAACAUACUUUAGCUGCUCUGCUGUUUGUCCCCCUACAAUCUCCACAUCGCUUCCUGGCUACAGUUCCAGCAUGUCUCACCACAGCUCCUACUAUUUCAGAUAAAUAUUUUCCUGCUUUUUCUCUGAAAUAUGGAGACUCUCCCAAUCAUCUCGUGAUUUUGCUAGUACAUGCUGUUAGAAAAUUUCUGCUGAGAAAGAGAUGGCAGAGCUGAGUCCAGAGUGCCCAUCCAUAGAGUUGAAUUGCACUAGAAUGGUUACCUUGCAAAGAAUAAGGGCAUAAAAAUCCAACAGUAUUACCUUUGGAAAGGAAGAAGCAGGCUCUAAACAAUGGACUGUACCUGCAUUUUUCUAGUGGUGUUUUUCAGAAUCCACACCCUCAGAGGAAAGGCUCUUCAUCAACCAACAGCAGCCCAGCUUUGCUGCUGAGCUCCAUUCUAAAGAACAGCAACAGAGCUCAGGUAUAGCAACACUGACAGCUAAGAAGGAAAGAAAGCAGUAUAUUUUAAAGCAAAUAUUUC